GACGAACGCUGGCGGCGUGCUUAACACAUGCAAGUCGAACGCUGAUGGCCCAGCUUGCUGGGUUGGAUGAGUGGCGAACGGGUGAGUAACACGUGAGUAACCUGCCCUCUUCUUUGGGAUAACGGUCGGAAACGGCUGCUAAUACCGGGUAUUCACUGUCCUUCGCAUGGGGGGUGGUGGAAAGGUUUUUUCUGGUGGGGGAUGGGCUCGCGGCCUAUCAGCUUGUUGGUGGGGUGAUGGCUUACCAAGGCUUUGACGGGUAACCGGCCUGAGAGGGUGACCGGUCACAUUGGGACUGAGAUACGGCCCAGACUCCUACGGGAGGCAGCAGUGGGGAAUAUUGCACAAUGGGCGAAAGCCUGAUGCAGCGACGCCGCGUGAGGGAUGGAGGCCUUCGGGUUGUAAACCUCUUUCGCUCAUGGUCAAGCCGCAGCUUUGGGUUGUGGUGAGGGUAGUGGGUAAAGAAGCACCGGCUAACUACGUGCCAGCAGCCGCGGUAAUACGUAGGGUGCGAGCGUUGUCCGGAAUUAUUGGGCGUAAAGGGCUUGUAGGCGGUUUGUCGCGUCUGCCGUGAAAUCCUCUGGCUUAACUGGGGGCGUGCGGUGGGUACGGGCAGGCUUGAGUGCGGUAGGGGAGACUGGAACCCCUAGUGUAGCGGUGGAAUGCGCAGAUAUCAGGAAGAACACCGGUGGCGAAGGCGGGUCUCUGGGCCGUUACUGACGCUGAGGAGCGAAAGCGUGGGGAGCGAACAGG
rnacentral:rRNA from 1 species